rnacentral:rRNA from 1 species
CGGUGACGAUAGCGAUGAGGUCCCACCUGUUCCCUUGCCGAACACAGUAGUUAAGCUCAUCUACGCCAAUGAUACUUGGCGGGCGACCGCCCGGGAAAAUAGGUAGUCGCCGG